rnacentral:misc_RNA from 1 species
AGUCCCAUUGUUCGAAACAAAUCAUAUUUUCCUUGUUCAUUAAUUUGAAAAUAUAGUAAAUUUUUCACAAAAGGAAUUAAUUUAAACUAAAAGAACAAAUUGUAUAUUUGCAUGCUAAUAUACAGGCAGAAGCUAAAACUAUCAAGAAGGUGGAAUAUUAUAAGAGAGAGAGAUUCAUUCAUUUCCAUCUUUCACGGCCAAGGAAAUUGGCCUCGAAACAAAUACAGGAAGAGAUAGUAAGAAGAAUAUAAACACAAGUUACCAAUAGCUACAAAAUGAUUCAACAAGACUUUGUAACACAAUGGAACGCCUUAAACUCGCACUUGGGAGAAAUCAUCUGCAAAAGCUGCCUUGCCGCGUACUCCUGUCGCACUACAGCCCCUUCUUUCUCCACCAAUGCAGCAGCCACAAUUUUCUCAUAGUCAUCACCGCCUCCGCCCACCACAUAAGCCACAAGGGCCGCCUGUACAGGCCCCAGGCUCGGAUUAUACGCGGCAGACUCCAUGUACGACCCUCUAUGGACCUUCCCUGCACAAUCCAUCAACGCCACCCCAGAUGGGCAAUUACUAUACGGAGCAUGGGAUUUGUUGGCGGCCUCUAAAGCCGCAUAUUUCAAAUCAUCGCAAACAGGACUAGUAAUCCCAUUUGGGAUGUAACUAUUAGAAUCGCUUAGAAAGGACAAGUGAUUAUGAUGUGGUUCUAAAGCCAAAGGAACAUCCUUAUCCAAAAGGUCAUCUGGUCCGAACCUGUGCGGUAGAAAGUGGGACAAGGACUCGAAUUUCUUCGCGUCCCCAUAAUUAUCAGCCACACCACCGCAAUUACUAUUCUUACUAUCGUCUGUGAUGAGGAUCUGGAUAUCGGGGGCGUUGCGAAUUUCCUGGAAAAACUGACGGCAGUGGCCACAGGGGGCGGCGGAAACGGCCAUGUAGUUGAGGCCGCGUUCAGCAUUGAGAGUGAGAUUGGUGAUGAGAAAUUGUUCGGCGUGGAUGGUGUAGUGGAGAGGGAGGCCCGGAAAUUCGAUGUUGGCCCCAAAAAAGAUGCGGCCGGAGGAUCCAAGGCCAACGACACCGACGUGGUAGUUGGAGAUGGGCGUGCAGGCCAAGGACCGGGCCUCUUUAACUAGGGAAGGAAGAAGCUGGAGAACUGCAAGACCUGAUUCUUUGGCCAUCGAUUCGGCUUCCGAUGCUUCUAUUACGAAUCUGCGCUGAAACAUUUUUGUGGUGGGACUGCUUGAGAUGGGAGAUUUAGAUGAGGGAAUAAAGAAACGCCAGACAGAGAGAGAGAGAGAGAGA